CCUACGGGAGGCAGCAGUGAGGAAUAUUGGUCAAUGGGCGGGAGCCUGAACCAGCCAAGUCGCGUGAGGGAAGACGGUCCUAUGGAUUGUAAACCUCUUUAGGCGGGGAGCAAUGCCGGGCACGCGUGCCCGGAGGGAGAGUACCCGCAGAAUAAGCAUCGGCUAACUCCGUGCCAGCAGCCGCGGUAAUACGGAGGAUGCGAGCGUUAUCCGGAUUUAGUGGGUUUAAAGGGUGCGUAGGCGGAUUUUUAAGUCAGCGGUAAAAUGUCCGGGCUCAACCCGGGCCGGCCGUUGAAACUGGGGAUCUUGAGUGGGCGAGAAGUAUGCGGAAUGUGUGGUGUAGCGGUGAAAUGCAUAGAUAUCACGCAGAACUCCGAUUGCGAAGGCAGCAUACCGGCGCCCGACUGACGCUGAGGCACGAAAGCGUGGGGAUCGAACAGGAUUAGAUACCCUUGUAGUC
rnacentral:rRNA from 1 species